rnacentral:rRNA from 1 species
GAUGAACGCUGGCGGCGUGCCUAAUACAUGCAAGUCGAGCGAACAGUCGAGGAGCUUGCUCCUCUGACGUUAGCGGCGGACGGGUGAGUAACACGUGGAUAACCUACCUAUAAGACUGGGAUAACUUCGGGAAACCGGAGCUAAUACCGGAUAAUAUAUUGAACCGCAUGGUUCAAUAGUGAAAGACGGUUUUGCUGUCACUUAUAGAUGGAUCCGCGCCGCAUUAGCUAGUUGGUAAGGUAACGGCUUACCAAGGCAACGAUGCGUAGCCGACCUGAGAGGGUGAUCGGCCACACUGGAACUGAGACACGGUCCAGACUCCUACGGGAGGCAGCAGUAGGGAAUCUUCCGCAAUGGGCGAAAGCCUGACGGAGCAACGCCGCGUGAGUGAUGAAGGUCUUCGGAUCGUAAAACUCUGUUAUUAGGGAAGAACAAAUGUGUAAGUAACUAUGCACGUCUUGACGGUACCUAAUCAGAAAGCCACGGCUAACUACGU